rnacentral:tRNA from 1 species
GGUGAUUAGCUCAGCUGGGAGAGCACCUCCCUUACAAGGAGGGGGUCGGCGGUUCGAUCCCGUCAUACCU